ACCUAUGCAGAUAUUUGCAGUUGGUAAGAACAUGACACUCUUGAUCUCAGGGUUGUGGGUUUGAGCCCCAAGUUGGGCA